rnacentral:rRNA from 1 species
UACAGAGGGCCGCUACCACGCGAGUGGAUGCCAAUCCCCAAAACCUCUCUCAGUUCGGACUGGAGUCUGCAACCCGACUCCACGAAGCUGGAUUCGCUAGUAAUCGCGCAUCAGCCACGGCGCGGUGAAUACGUUCCCGGGCCUUGUACACACCGCCCGUCAAGCCAUGGGAGCCGGGGGUACCUGAAGUGCGUAACCGCGAGGAGCGCCCUAGGGUAAAACUGGUGACUGGGGCUAAGUCGUAACAAGGUAAC